AUACGAAGGGUGCGAGCGUUAAUCGGCAUUACUGGGCGUAAAGCGCGCGUAGGCGGUUGGAUAAGUCGGAUGUGAAAUCCCCGGGCUCAACCUGGGAAUUGCAUUCGAAACUGUCCGGCUAGAGUAUGGUAGAGGGAAGCGGAAUUCCACAUGUAGCGGUGAAAUGCGUAGAUAUGUGGAGGAACACCAGUGGCGAAGGCGGCUUCCUGGACCAAUACUGACGCUGAGGUGCGAAAGCGUGGGGAGCAAACAGGAUUAGAAACCCUAGUAGUCC
rnacentral:rRNA from 1 species